GAAAUGCGAUAACUAGUGUGAAUUGCAGAAUUCCGUGAAUCAUCGAGUCUUUGAACGCACAUUGCGCCCCCUGGUAUUCCGGGGGGCAUGCCUGUCCGAGCGUCAUUGCUGCCCAUCAAGCAUGGCUUGUGUGUUGGGUCGUCGUCCCCUCUCCGGGGGGGACGGGCCCCAAAGGCAGCGGCGGCACCGCGUCCGAUCCUCGAGCGUAUGGGGCUUUGUCACCCGCUCUGUAGGCCCGGCCGGCGCUUGCCGAACGCAAAUCAAUCUUUUUCCAGGUUGACCUCGGAUCAGGUAGGGAUACCCGCUGAACUUAAGC
rnacentral:misc_RNA from 1 species